GUGCUCACUUUGGCAGCAUGUAUCCUAAAACUGGAAUGAUACAGAGAAGAUUAGCAUGGUCUCUGCACAAGGAUGACAUGCAAAUUCAUGAUGCGUUUCAUAUUUUA